GUGGAUUAGAUACCCUAGUAGUCCACGCCGUAAACGAUGGAUACUAGCUGUUGGGCGCAAGUUCAGUGGCUAAGCGAAAGUGAUAAGUAUCCCACCUGGGGAGUACGUUCGCAAGAAUGAAACUCAAAGGAAUUGACGGGGGCCCGCACAAGCGGUGGAGCAUGUGGUUUAAUUCGAUGAUACGCGAGGAACCUUACCAAGGCUUAAAUGUAGAUUGACAGGUUUGGAAACAGACUUUUCUUCGGACAAUUUACAAGGUGCUGCACGGCCGUCGCCAACU
rnacentral:rRNA from 1 species